UACGUAGGGGGCAAGCGUUGUCCGGAAUCAUUGGGCGUAAAGAGCGCGUAGGCGGCCCUGUAAGUCCGCUGUGAAAGUCAAGGGCUCAACCCUUGAAUGCCGGUGGAUACUGCAGGGCUAGAGUCCGGAAGAGGCGAGUGGAAUUCCUGGUGUAGCGGUGAAAUGCGCAGAUAUCAGGAGGAACACCGAUGGCGAAGGCAGCUCGCUGGGACGGUACUGACGCUGAGGCGCGAAAGCUAGGGGAGCGAAUGGG
rnacentral:rRNA from 1 species